GCGUAACGCUGGCUCAUACUUAAUUUAUUUAAACCUAUUCAAUUCAGAAGUUCCAAUCUUUCAGGUUCACGCAACAAAACCAACAACAGGGACUUCCUUAACUUCAUCAAAUGUUAUAGAUCGUGUAUUAUGCAAGAUACUUUGCCUGUAAUUCAAACCAUGACAUAGAAUAUUACUCAAUUGAUUGAUGAACAAUAAUGCUCAAGGAAAAGUGAAACAAAUACAAAUUUAACUGAUAAUUCGACGCGUGUAAACUAAAAGUUUCCAAAGGCCACAGUCAAAUUAAACGCUUCAUUUGCUCCAGCUGAAAAUUGCGUAACGAAUGCCAAAUGCACAGAAAACCACAAAAGCAGCACCACCUCCUCCAACUCCAGCUCCAGCUCUAACCACCGUUAAGUGGCAGGCUCGACUUCAUUAGAUUGUAAUAAACGCGCGCUGGUUACAGCCCAACAACAGCAAAGGCAACAAAAAUAUACAAAAAAAAAACUGACAGCAACAUAAAAACUUAAGAAAAAUCUAAGCUCAGCUUAUAAAUGCAAUUUCGUUCGCACAAUCUUCAAUGGACUUCAUUAAAAUAUUCGAAACACAAGCAGUUUAAGCCCCAAGACACCCUCUUAAAAAAAAAAAAACGAAAAACUUGUCAGACGCACUAUAAACGCGACGUUGCCGAACCGCCCGAUUGCAACUUGAACUCAGAGUGAACGCUAGGAUGGUAGCAGAGAGCAAGACACAGAGACAGAGUACGAGAGAGAGAGAGGGAGACAGCGAGAGAUCGGACAGACUCUGGCGAGUCGAGAGUUCAGAGGUCUAAUUGAAAAUGCGCAAACUUUAAGAAAUAUUGAGAGAGUUGCAAAUGUAUGUAUAUCCAUUACCAUUAGAACUCAAUUUGCUCGCAUGGCGCACGCAUUCACAAAGACGCCCACAAGCAGUUCCGAAUACCCUUACCCCCAGCCGCCCUUCCGAUUCACACUUAGCUACUCUGUGCAAUGCGCUGCCUUGCGAAAUUUAUAACACGGCGGGCAAAUUGGGGCCAACUUGUGACAAUUUACGAUAUUAAUACUAAAUAUUUGUGCCCCGUCGUGAUUUACGGUUUGUGGCACAAGAAAAAAUGCGAAGAAAAGAAACAAUAAAAGUAAAAAAGUGCCCAACUAGCAGAUUCCACGUAUCCAGCGCCGAGCUACUUGCACAAAUGCACAAAUUUGUAGGGAAUACUGCUUAACCUUUUUAAAUUUGAAUUUGUUCAACAAUUUCGGGGGGAUGAGGCUUCGAGAUCGACUCGUUUAUGCAGACGAACCGAUUGACUCACCACAUUAAGCCAUUUUAUCGGAUUGUCCAACUGCCUGUUUCAUUUGCACGCAACCAUAAUACCCCACCGUAGCGAUUAUCAAUGGAUAUAGGCGCUUAAGCGUUCCCAGACAUUUGCCAGCCAGAAACUGCGCAUAAAGUGGAGCAGGCCAUAAAAUUUUAUGAUAAUUGCAACCUGGCGAGCGACUGACAAAUGAAGUGAUUUUAAAUUUUUCAUUUACCGAUUGCAAUCCGCACAUGCAUAUAUUUAAUUAUAGACGUUGCCAAAUCUUGAGUGGGGCAAGCGAAAUGUUGUUGCCGCGCCCCGUUAACAAAAUUUAAAUAAAAUGAUUUUAUUUUUUUUUUUAUAUUUCCGAUAAUAUACGAAAGAAAUCAUCGUAAAAAUUUCACCCAGCCACGCGUAGAAAUUUCGAUGCGCGGCAAUUAAGCGAUCAGAGCUCAAAUCUGAUCACUGGGAACCAAAAUAACCCGAAAAACCCAUAAGAUGAGGCGUACGCAAUGGAAACCCUUUUAGGUCAAUGAAUUUGUUAUCAUCAAACUGUAACCGAAACGAACGUCAUGCACAUUUGCAUGGCGGAGCGUGGAACGCAAAUUACAAAUUCAAAAUUUACGAGACCAAAAACAACUAACAACAACUUUAAUAAGCAACACAAGCAGCUAAGACAAAAAAUACUUAAACAAAAUAAAA